AACGAACGCUGGCGGCAGGCUUAACACAUGCAAGUCGAACGCCCCGCAAGGGGAGUGGCCGACGGGUGAGUAACGCGUGGGAACAUACCCUUUCCUGCGGAAUAGCUCCGGGAAACUGGAAUUAAUACCGCAUACGCCCUACGGGGGAAAGAUUUAUCGGGGAAGGAUUGGCCCGCGUUGGAUUAGCUAGUUGGUGGGGUAAAGGCCUACCAAGGCGACGAUCCAUAGCUGGUCUGAGAGGAUGAUCAGCCACAUUGGGACUGAGACACGGCCCAAACUCCUACGGGAGGCAGCAGUGGGGAAUAUUGGACAAUGGGCGCAAGCAUGAUCCAGCCAUGCCGCGUGAGUGAUGAAGGCCUUAGGGUUGUAAAGCUCUUUCACCGAUGAAGAUAAUGACGGUAGUCGGAGAAGAAGCCCCGGCUAACUUCGUG
rnacentral:rRNA from 1 species